rnacentral:rRNA from 1 species
GACGAACGCUGGCGGCGUGCUUAACACAUGCAAGUCGAACGGACCCUUUGGGGUUAGUGGCGAACGGGUGAGUAACACGUGGGUGAUCUGCCCUGCACUUUGGGAUAAGCCUGGGAAACUGGGUCUAAUACCGGAUAGGACUACGCACUGCAUGGUGUGUGGUGGAAAGCUUUUGCGGUGUGGGAUGGGCCCGCGGCCUAUCAGCUUGUUGGUGGGGUGAUGGCCUACCAAGGCGACGACGGGGUAGCCGGCCUGAGAGGGUGACCGGCCACACUGGGACUGAGAUACGGCCCAGACUCCUACGGGAGGCACCAGUGGGGAAUAUUGCACAAUGGGCGCAAGCCUGAUGCAGCGACGCCGCGUGAGGAUGACGCUUCGGNNGGUUGUAAACCUCUUUCGCCAGGGACGAAGCGCAAGUGACGGUACCUGGAGAAGAAGGACCGGCCAACUACGUGCCAGCAGCCGCGGUAAUACGUAGGGUCCGAGCGUUGUCCGGAAUUACUGGGCGUAAAGAGCUCGUAGGUGGUUUGUCGCGUUGUUCGUGAAAACUCACAGCUUAACUGUGGGCGUGCGGGCGAUACGGGCAGACUGGAGUACUGCAGGGGAGACUGGAAUUCCUGGUGUAGCGGUGGAAUGCGCAGAUAUCAGGAGGAACACCGGUGGCGAAGGCGGGUCUCUGGGCAGUAACUGACGCUGAGGAGCGAAAGCGUGGGGAGCGAACAGGAUUAGAUACCCUGGUAGUCCACGCCGUAAACGGUGGGUACUAGGUGUGGGUUUCCUUCCUUGGGAUCCGUGCCGUAGCUAACGCAUUAAGUACCCCGCCUGGGGAGUACGGCCGCAAGGCUAAAACUCAAAGGAAUUGACGGGGGCCCGCACAAGCGGCGGAGCAUGUGGAUUAAUUCGAUGCAACGCGAAGAACCUUACCUGGGUUUGACAUGCACAGGACGCCGGCAGAGAUGUCGGUUCCCUUGUGGCCUGUGUGCAGGUGGUGCAUGGCUGUCGUCAGCUCGUGUCGUGAGAUGUUGGGUUAAGUCCCGCAACGAGCGCAACCCUUGUCUCAUGUUGCCAGCACGUUAUGGUGGGGACUCGUGAGAGACUGCCGGGGUCAACUCGGAGGAAGGUGGGGAUGACGUCAAGUCAUCAUGCCCCUUAUGUCCAGGGCUUCACACAUGCUACAAUGGCCGGUACAAAGGGCUGCGAUGCCGUGAGGUGGAGCGAAUCCUUUCAAAGCCGGUCUCAGUUCGGAUCGGGGUCUGCAACUCGACCCCGUGAAGUCGGAGUCGCUAGUAAUCGCAGAUCAGCAACGCUGCGGUGAAUACGUUCCCGGGCCU